rnacentral:rRNA from 1 species
UAGAUACCCUGGUAGUCCACGCCGUAAACGAUGUCGACUUGGAGGUUGUGCCCUUGAGGCGUGGCUUCCGGAGCUAACGCGUUAAGUCGACCGCCUGGGGAGUACGGCCGCAAGGUUAAAACUCAAAUGAAUUGACGGGGGCCCGCACAAGCGGUGGAGCAUGUGGUUUAAUUCGAUGCAACGCGAAGAACCUUACCUACUCUUGACAUCCAGAGAACUUUCCAGAGAUGGAUUGGUGCCUUCGGGAACUCUGAGACAGGUGCUGCAUGGCUGUCGUCAGCUCGUGUUGUGAAAUGUUGGGUUAAGUCCCGCAACGAGCGCAACCCUUAUCCUUUGUUGCCAGCGGUUCGGCCGGGAACUCAAAGGAGACUGCCAGUGAUAAACUGGAGGAAGGUGGGGAUGACGUCAAGUCAUCAUGGCCCUUACGAGUAGGGCUACACACGUGCUACAAUGGCAUAUACAAAGAGAAGCAAUACCGCGAGGUGGAGCCAAACUCAAAAACUGCUCUCAGUUCGGAUUGCAGGCUGAAACUCGCCUGCAUGAAGCUGGAGUUGCUAGUAAUCGCGAAUCAGCAUGUCGCGGUGAAUACGUUCCCGGGCC